GGGGGAAAGAGGCAGCAGUUAAAUAUGAAAUUGGGACCGCCUGGCACAGAAGAUUCUUAGAAGAAAAGAAAGUAGGAGAUGCAGAGAAGUAAAGAGCGGGCCCAAACGUAUUCCUUUGGGAAAGUUUGCUGGGUUCUUUUCUGUCAAAAGAAACACUGAUGUCAUGGAAAUGAGGUGGCUGGGAACACUGUCGGGGAAUGUUCCCGUUGGUUACAUGAGCUACUGACAAGCAGCAGCAGGAAUCUCGCUGGGUGAUGGGCCUCCUGUCGUCCCCUGACAUUCUAAAGGGAAGUCAGGAACUCUGUCCCUUCGGCUAUCGCCCAUUGCGAUGUGUGUGAGGCGAGUGAGUGGUCCGCCUGUGGGAUUCCAAGUCCCCUAAUUUAACAGGCUCUUCAGUGUGUACAGGUGUCUGCUAGGUAAAAACAUUGUAUUUAAAUGCAGAUUUCUGUCUUUUUCCACUAUGUUCAAUUAAAAAAAAAAAAGGAAAAGAAAAAAGCAGGUCCAUUUGGAGGAUUUUUUCCCCUCUGGUGAAUGAAGCAGAUAGUAAGAUUUUGCAGUAGGCAGAAUAAUGACGCCCCAAAAUGUCACACCCUAAUCCACGGAACCUGUGAAUAUGUUGAUGGGAUUAUCCAGGUGGGCUCAAUGUCAUCACAAAGGUCCUCGUAAGAGGGGGGCAGGAGGAUUAGAGAAGAUAUGACCACAGAAGUGAGGCUGGAGUGACAGAAGACCAAGAGCCAAGGAAUAUGGGGGGCUUCUAGAAGCUGGAAAAGGCAAGGAAGUAGAUUGUCCCCUAGAGCCUCCUGAAGGAGCGCAGCCCUGCCCACCCACCCAUUGUAGGCUUUUGACCUCCACAACUGUGAGAUAAUAAAUUUGUGUUGUUUUAAGCCACCCUGUUUGUGGUCAUUUGCUACAGUAGCCCUAGGAAACUCAUCCAGAUUUCUCCCAAAGCCUGAGUUUUACUCUGAGAUGGUGGCUUUUCCCUGUUGUAAAAAUAGCUCGCAGUUACUGAGUGGUAAUGAUAUGGCAGGACCUCUACCAGACCUGGGGCAGACAUCACCUCAUGUAAUUCUCCUGGCGGCUGGAGUCGAGAGGCACCAUCACCACCCUCAGCGUGUGUGUGCGUGUGUGUCUGUGCUAUGUUUGCGUGCACAUGUGGUGCAUAUGUGUGGAUCCUGUCUCUCCACAUUGCUUUCUCUCCUCUGUGUCUGAGGAUCAGAUCUCCCUCUGCCUUCCUCUUCUCCAUAUACGUGAUCAUAUUUAGGGCCUGCCCGGAUAAUCCAGGAUGAUCUUCCCAUCUCAAGAUUUUUAACAUAACCACAUUUUUUGCCGACAUAAGGUAAUAGGCAGAGAUUGCAGGAAUUAGGAAGUAGAUACGUCUCUUCAGAGGACCGUCUUUCAGCAGGCCACAAGGGGGUGGGCACCCAAUCUACCUUUCCCUCCCACGUCAAGCCUAAGAGCCAGCUCUCACAUCUGCACUUUCAGAGGUGAGGAAGCAGGGGCUCAGAGAAGUUUACUACCUUGCCUGUGUUUCUCACGCAGCUGCUAGGUGGGACGGGCUCUUUCCGCUACUCCCCAAGAAUGUUCGUGGAGAAAUACGGGGUGUUGUGCCCUCCCACCAUACAUGAUUUCAGAGAGCUCUCUUAGUUUCUUGGAUACGUCAGUGUUUUCAUCUGCAAAAUGAGAAUCAUAAUACACCCUUCCUGAUCUAGGUCUGAAGAAAUUAGACAAUUUUUGUGAACAUUCUUUGAAAAAUACUAUGUUAUAUAGAUGCAGAGAGUUAUUAUUAUCUGGAGCAGGUUCAUAAAAAAGUCUUCAUGUAUGAGAGAAGAGAUGACUUGGCUGAGCAUUGUGAAGGAAAUGCCAAAAUAUUUAUAGAAAUCAUCACCCUGGCUUGGAGUGCUGAGUCUUCACUUAAGAUAGUGAAUCAAGUUCUGAUGUAGAGACAUUUAAAAAUCUUCCCUGUUUGCAGAAUUAUACCUGGAAGCCACUUCCCAAAGGAGGGUGGCAAGAGAGGCUGAAUUAUCUCAAGUUGAGAGGGGGAAGGAAGUACCAGCGACUGACCGCUGACUGUGUGCCAAGUACUCCACAUUUAAUCCUCACGAAUGUUAGUUUUCUCAGUAACUGAAGCUCAUCUGAACAGGACACCCAUCAGAGGAAGGGUUCUGUGGCUUGCAGAGCAUUGGAAGACACUGCUCUGGAGACGAGCGAGACAUUGCACCAGUGUAUAUUGUUAGAUGGUUGGGGAAUGCAAAAGAAGUUAUUUACCCUCAAAAAACUUAUACUUAUGGUGUGGCAGGAUGAGCACACAUGCAGUGAAGGAAAAAAACCAAACCACGUGUGUGCGUUUGAACCUUUUUACAAGAAAAAGCUGGGGGGUGGAAUAAAACUGUGAAUG